GAGGAUGCCGGCUGCCGCUGGCCGCGCCGCUGCCGUCCGUCUCGGCCGCUCUCCCCUUCGGGUUCAGCAGAGCGGGGCCCUCUCUGUUUUCAACAGAGAGGGGGACAAUUUAUGCAAAGACAUACCAGAAGGAAAAGUGUGGCAGUUUUUCAGCAAGGCUGUUACUCCAAGAGUCGUGAUACUCACCAUUUAAACAAAGCAUAAGACAGCUUUGCUGUUUCGGCCUGAUUUUGCUCUAGGCGAGUGUGGUAUGCACUCUUCCUCCACAAGGCCCGUCAGACAGAUCCAGGCCCGAGACCAAGCGUGCAUGAACUCAUACUGCAUAGAUUCUUUCGACUUUUUAUACCCUGGGAUGAUCGCAAAGUAAUCCAGUUUAUUUAUGCAUAGUUGUCUUUAUGAGAGGAACCAACCCCCCCCCCCCACCCCAACCCCAAUCUUCGUCAGGUUGUGUGAUUGCCUGCUUGUGGGAGGAGGGUGUUUCCAAUUCAGAGACGUCACACCGAUGACCCAUUGUGUGAGUGCGGUGGCCAUAGACUCGGAAACAAAAUCAGGGAGUGAGAAGAAGAUUUUGCCCCCCGAUUGGUGAAUAUGAUUUAGAUAAAAAGGUCUUACAGAGUUGUGAUAUUUUACCUUCGGCUGUAUGUUUCAGCAAGUCGUGUUUCGCGAAAAAUCUUAGGAAAUUGGGAUCGUUUUAGAAAAUCAUUAGGCGUGAAAACGAAAAUUUAUGGAGCACUUAUUAUGUGCCAGCAAUUGUGCCGAGGGUAUUAACUCAGAUGAUUCUUUUCUUUGGAGAUGAUUCUUUUGAGAAACGACAACAGCAACAACAACAACUUGUGAGGCAGGUACCUGUGUUACAGAAGAGGCAAUGGAUGCUGAGAAAGUUGCCUCAAGUGUCACAGCUACUUUAGUGGCGGGGCUGAGACUGCAAAGCCAGGCAGCCUAAUGUACUCCUACAUCCGAAUUUCCGAGCCUUUCCUUCUCUGACUUUCUUGGCUUCCUUCCCUCAUCAGCCUUUCUUGAUUUUAGGAAGAGGCCGUGAAACAUGCCCUUUUGACCUAGUCACUUCCCUGGACGGAGAGGCCGAUCUGUGCUGUUGGCAGAAGCUGAACCACUCUGGACUCACUUUUGACGCCUCGGCUGGAUCAUAACACAACUGUGAAGUAACUUAUCAUGUGUAUCUUUGCUUCGCUCAUCACCAGAUCGCUUUAUAUUUGUCUUAUCUGUCCAGGAAUCACAUAGCGAAUGGAAACAAACCUGUAGGAACUCGACUAGUAUUUACCGUGCACCUGUCAUAUGUGUGCUGACCCUGCUGAAGCUCUCCAGAUAUCGCCCAGCCCCCUCCUGGUUCAGAGGUGAAUAUACCUCCGGAUCAGCUUGUCCCCACCGAAGAAUGCGUAGUGCGAUGAUGCUUUAGUUUUAAUUUGUUCCCAGAAGGUGUUAUGAUGGUAAGAGCUGUACUUUUUAUCUGCGACACACAUACAUCUCUCAUCAGCUCUCCAUAUUCUCUUUGCUUCUACCUUUAAAAAAUUUUUUUUAAUGUUUAUUUAUUUUUGAGAAAGAGAGAGAGACGCAGCAUGAAUGGGAGAGUCGCAGAGAGCGAGGGAGACACAGAGUCCGAAGCAAGCUCCAGGCUCCAAGCUGUCAGCACAGAGCCCGAGGCGGGGCUCAAACUCACCAGCUGUGAGAUCAUGACCUGAGCCAAAGUCAGAUACUUAACCGACUGAGCCGCCACCCGCGUGCCCUUGCUUCUCCCUUUUCUGCUCAGAACCAGUGACCUCAAUUGGCGGGGAGUGGUGGAGGGGAGGACAUAUUCUUGCACUUGGUCAAUCGCGUAAUCGCCUUGUUUAAUGAUCCCGGGCCCUGCGUCUCCUCCAGCGGCUUGUGGGCAUCAUGAAAGUGUCAGGGUGUUUGCUGUAGUCUUUGAUCAGAGAGAAGACAAACUUAAUUCUAGAAUUCUUUAAGUCUGGUUAAAAGCAAUUCUCACUUUACUUUCUAUGGUCGAACUCUACUGGAAUUCCUAAGGCAUAAUCCAACAAGAAACCAAAAGGAAUGAGCAAACAAUGUGACUACCUCGCCUCCUGGUAGAACUAAUUCUGUUCCUCAUUCCGUUGUUGCCCUGAUGUGAGCCGUGGCUAUCCCGGUCUGUCCUGUGCUCGCCUUACUCUCUUAACUCCGAGCAAAGGGAGGAGGUUCCUUUCACCUGGGCUACAGGGGAAUAUUCUUCUGCCUAAGUUUCCUGAAGUAACCUGUAUUUCUUCAUCAUAGUUUGCACAUUUAUAAUUUAUAAUGUAUUUCUUGGUGUAGAUUGAUCAACUUUGCCUUUUCUGCUAGAUAGCAAGCUCUACGAGAGUAUGGAGCAUGUUUCGUUCAUUAUGGUAUUCCAAGUGAAUAUUCAGUAAAUAUUUGCUGGCUAGCCGGCUGAUCCCUGUAAAUGCAACCAAUGCUAGCACUGUUCGAAUGCAAAGUCCGAGAGAACACGUACCUACGUCUGGGUGUGCCCUCGUCCAUCUCUGUCCCCCCAGGUCCUGGCACAAUACCAGCCAUGCUGUAUAAAUCCUUGAUCAUAUCUGAAUAUCGUAUAUCUGAAAUAAGCGAGUGCUCACAAAUGAAGCUUUUAGUGAGCUGAAGACCUGUUUAGUUUUUAUGUAUCAAAACCCAUUUGAUGAUUGCCUGUAACACUCUGGCCUUCCUCUCUCAUUUCCGUUAAUAUCUUUGGAGCAAGUAUCACCAUCGGCUUUCUGUCCCUCUUGCAUGGAGUUUGAGCCACCGCUAUCCUUAAAAGCUGUUCCCCACCCCCAAGAAAUAGAUCUUAGCAGACAGCACACAGUUUGUUCCUUAUAACCCCAAUAAUUAUGCCACACAACGUUUUAGACCCCCUGCUUGUAGAUCAUGCUGUGGAAUCCUAAAAGACAUAUCAUGGCUGAUAAAUUGGCAGAUAGGUAAGAGGGGACCAGAGACAAGGCCAGAAGCAUUGCCAGGCACAUGAAUGUCUACUGUAUUCCAGGCCUAUUUUUGUGGCGAGUUGUUUUUUUUUUUUUAACAUCACAACUUUGUGAAGUAAAUACUAUGACCCCCAUUUGCAGAAAUUGAACUUGAGAAGUUUAUGAGCAUGCCCAAGAUCAAAAAGUACUUUGCAAUGUUUUAUCAUGAAAAUUUGCAAUAACACAGGAAAACCUAGAUUCUAUAGUCAACAUUUUACAACAUGCUUACUCUUUGACUUAUAUGUCCACCCUUCUAUCCAUCCAUUGAUCCAUCCUAGUUUUCAUGAAUUUCUUUUUUUUAAAUGUGUGUUUUUGAGACGGAGCGAGCCUGUGUAUGCUCGCACAAGCAGGAGAGGGGCAGAGAGAGAGAGAGAGAGGGAAACAGAGGAUCCAAAGCAGGUUCAGAGCUGACAGCAGAGAGACUGAUGUAGGGCUCAAACUUGCGAAUCUCAAGAUCAUGACCUGAGCCCAAGUCGGAUGCUUAACCGACUAAGCCACCCAGGCGCCUCAGUAUUUAUGAAUUUCAAAGUAAGUUGAAAUACUUUGGGAUGUGUAUCAUUCCCUAGAGUUCAAUAUUUAUUUGUUUUAGUUCUUUUUUUUUCCCCUUUGAGACAUUUUACAUACAACAAAGUGGACAAAUCCUAAGGGUACCAUGACAUGAUUUCAUGUGCACAGUCCAAAGCUCUGUUAAAUUACAGAACAUGCCCAUCAUCCCAGAAAGUUCUUUGUUGUCUCUUCUGAGUAAAUUCCCAUUUCAGCCUCUGGAAACAACCAGUGCUGUGGGUUUUUCUCACAUGGGUUACCUUUGCUGGUUCUGACUCUUCAUACCAUGGAAUCAUAAAGUAUGUACUCUCGUAGAAGGCUUGUUUCACUGAGCGGAAUUUUGAGAUUCACCCAUGUUUUUAUGUGUAUUCUGUUCAUUCUGUUCAUUUUAUGUGUAUUAUGUUCAUUCUGUUAUUGCUGAAUAGGAUUCCAUGGGUGACGAUGACACGGUUUAUUUAUCCAUUUUCCUACUGAUGUGUACCUGGACUGUUUCCAGUUUGAGCUGUUAUAAGUAAAGCUGUUAUGAACAUU